rnacentral:tRNA from 1 species
GCGCAUGUAGCUCAGUGGUUAGAGCGCAUGUUUCCUAAGCUGAAGGUCGCAAGUUCGACCCUCACCUGGCGCG